UACGUAGGGGGGCCAGCGUUGUCCGGAAUCAUUGGGCGUAAAGCGCGUGUAGGCGGUCCGGUAAGUCCGCUGUGAAAGUCGGGGGCUCAACCCUCGAAUGCCGGUGGAUACUGCCGUGACUAGAGUCCGGUAGAGGAGCACGGAAUUCCUGGUGUAGCGGUGAAAUGCGCAGAUAUCAGGAGGAACACCAGCGGCGAAGGCGGUGCUCUGGGCCGGAACUGACGCUGAGGAGCGAAAGCGUGGGGAGCGAACAGG
rnacentral:rRNA from 1 species